UACGUAGGGUGCAAGCGUUAAUCGGAAUUACUGGGCGUAAAGCGUGCGCAGGCGGUUUUGUAAGUCAGAUGUGAAAUCCCCGGGCUUAACCUGGGAACUGCGUUUGAAACUACAAGGCUAGAGUGUGGCAGAGGGGGGUGGAAUUCCACGUGUAGCAGUGAAAUGCGUAGAGAUGUGGAGGAACACCGAUGGCGAAGGCAG
rnacentral:rRNA from 1 species